GAGGACUGUGAGUUCUACCUCACAGCCCAGCAGUUCAUCGUGCUGCCCAUCCAGAGGCAGAGGAUAGAAUCAUCCGAUGGGAACCAGGAGCCUUCUGUGGUGAAGAAGAUAAAGGAGCUGUGGCUGAAGAAUCCUGCUGUGAAGAAUGCUUCCAGCUCAGGUAAAGAGUUGUGGGGGACACACGAUGCUCUGGCUGCCUCGUAGAGUCGCUGGGUUUCCUCAGCUUUGGUGUGUGUUAGGCAGAGGUAGCACAAGUAUGGUCAGAUCUCACAAGGAUAUGUUGCUAAACCCAAAGCAGGAUGAGGCAGUGCUGAUAGCUGAAGCAGUAUGGGACAUGGCAUGCUGUGUUCAUGCUGCUGGCCCAGGAAGUGUGGACAAAGGAAAGAGAGUUUCUAGAAGCAAAGGAAGUGCAGAAUUUUUGAUAUUUCCACAGAUUUCAGUGCACACAACAGUCAUGCAGCCAAGUAAAAGCGUUUGCAAGUGGGGCUUGCCAGAGUUCAGCUGUCUGCUCCACACAUGUCUCUGUGUUCUUGCUUCAGACCCCUCCAUCUCUCAGCUGAUCGAUGCCAUAGGACAGAACCAGCUGGAGAUUUUGAAGGAAAAUGCUGAGGAAUGCUUGGAUUUACAGAUGCCCAAGGAGAAGACGGUGACGGUGACGGACGAGGUUCCUGUCACCGAGUGGGAGGCAGAGCGCAAGAAAGAGCAGGAUCAGGAUGUUUUCAUGGUCCCAGUCAACACCCUGGUGAUCCCUCCUGAGGAGGAGGAAGUUGCUUGUGAUUCUUCCAAGACAGAUGCUGAGUCACUGGCCUUGUCUGAUAGCUUGGAGGGAUCCCUGGACAACCCCUGGAACAGGAUCCCCCCAUUGUCUUUGACCCCGAGCUCUUCAGAUGAGAAGACCAUUCAACCUGACGCUUCCAUGAAGACCCAGAAAGAUGUGUCUGCUGACAGCAACACCCCCGACCUGCUGGAACUGUGUAGCCAGGACUCUCCCAAGAGAUUGCCACAGGGAGAGCCAGUACAGACUUUCUCUCCCUCCCUGCUCUGCUCCUACAGCAAUCCCAGUCCACUGAAGACCAGCACCAGCCAGGCAGCAUCAGCUUUGGGGGCAGCCUGUGGUGCCCCCUGCACUGCUCAAGGCCCGCAGGGAUCAAGGGGCUCUCAGGCCCCCCUGCCAACUCUUUCUCCAGAUUUCCCUGUCUUGCCCAGCACCAGCUUGCAAUCCAUGCCCAACAGGAUGCCUCAUGGGGAACAGGCGUGCUCCAGUGGCACAGCUUUCCCUCCAGAUGCGUUGAAGCCUUGUCCAGUUCCUGCCAGGACACGGAACGGAGCGGGUGCCAAGAGGAAGUUGGUGGUGGGAGAUGACCAGGCACUGCUGGCCCCCGGCGGGCAGCAGCAUCCCCAGGGCACCCCAAGGGGCAGGGGGACAGGCACAGGCAGGAGAUCAGAGCUCAGGAGCCCACGGCGUGCAAAGAAGAGCAGAAAGGAGACGGGGCUGCAACAUGGAAAGGAGCUUGAGGAGGAAGAGGAGGAGGAGGAGGAGGAGGAAGAAGAGCAAGGGUCGUCCUCUGCGAGCGGCCCCAGCUCCAGGCCGGAGCAGCGCAGAACUCUGGAGCCGUACGUGAGGAAACCAGCCCAGUACAAAUAUGAGGCACCAAGCCCCGAGCUCUGCCAGGAGAUACAGUCUAUCAGGAUCUCCAAGGCAAUGCUGAAGUGGGCAUGCUGGAUACUAACAGAGGAGGAGGAGGAUUCCUGAGCCUAGCCCGCUCUUCACUCCGUCCUUCUUUCACCGUAUCCUCCAAAACACUGGGAAGAGCAGUUGGGGGGGAUGUAGGGACACCAGGACCCCUGUGCCCAAGAGGACCACUGAGUGGGCUGACCUAGCUACAGAGACCUUGGCCCAGGGAUGCUGGGAUAUAACCUGUUGAAAGCCAGCACCCUCGGUGCCAAGAGGGGGAAAAAAGCAUCCAUGCAGGAAUGCCUGCAUGUGAGCUGGCAUCCCUCUCCCACCUUGCCAUCCUUUCCAAAUGCCUUGGCAUCUGGGGACAAGGGGUGACCCAGUGCCACUGUAGCAGCAAUGGCAGAGGCCUGACAACCUGAUCCCCUCUCCGAAGGUGCCCCAGGAGUUCGGAUGUUUUAUUGAUUAGUUUGGGUAGGGUCCUGCAUCAUUUGUUACAAAAAAUAUCCCGCAGGGUUAUGCUGUAGAAAUUAAAAAUAAAAAUUGUAUAUUUUUUGAAUACA
rnacentral:lncRNA from 1 species